rnacentral:rRNA from 1 species
GAACGCUGGCGGCAGGCCUAACACAUGCAAGUCGAACGGUAACAGGAAGCAGCUUGCUGCUUGCUGACGAGUGGCGGACGGGUGAGUAAUGUCUGGGAAACUGCCUGAUGAGGGGGGUAACUACUGGAAACGGUAGCUAAUACCGCAUAACGUCGCAAGACCAAAGAGGGGGACCUUCGGGCCUCUUGCCAUCAGAUGUGCCCAGAUGGGAUUAGCUUGUUGGUGGGGUAACGGCUCACCAAGGCGACGAUCCCUAGCUGGUCUGAGAGGAUGACCAGCCACACUGGAACUGAGACACGGUCCAGACUCCUACGGGAGGCAGCAGUGGGGAAUAUUGCACAAUGGGCGCAAGCCUGAUGCAGCCAUGCCGCGUGUAUGAAGAAGGCCUUCGGGUUGUAAAGUACUUUCAGCGGGGAGGAAGGUGUUGUGGUUAAUAACCACAGCAAUUGACGUUACCCGCAGAAGAAGCACCGGCUAACUCCGUGCCAGCAGCCGC